rnacentral:rRNA from 1 species
CGGAGCUUGCUCUGUGGGAUCAGUGGCGAACGGGUGAGUAACACGUGAGCAACCUGCCCCUGACUCUGGGAUAAGCGCUGGAAACGGCGUCUAAUACUGGAUAUGUGACGUGACCGCAUGGUCUGCGUCUGGAAAGAAUUUCGGUUGGGGAUGGGCUCGCGGCCUAUCAGCUUGUUGGUGAGGUAAUGGCUCACCAAGGCGUCGACGGGUAGCCGGCCUGAGAGGGUGACCGGCCACACUGGGACUGAGACACGGCCCAGACUCCUACGGGAGGCAGCAGUGGGGAAUAUUGCACAAUGGGCGCAAGCCUGAUGCAGCAACGCCGCGUGAGGGACGACGGCCUUCGGGUUGUAAACCUCUUUUAGCAGGGAAGAAGCGAAAGUGACGGUACCUGCAGAAAAAGCGCCGGCUAACUACGUGCCAGCAGCCGCGGUAAUACGUAGGGCGCAAGCGUUAUCCGGAAUUAUUGGGCGUAAAGAGCUCGUAGGCGGUUUGUCGCGUCUGCUGUG